AGAACCCAAUAGAUCGCAUGUAGGACCGAGUGUGGCUCGGCUAACCCAUAUGCACCUAUUAGUAGGUUCUAAACCAGUUGCUUCACCAAGCAACUUCUAGUGUAAUUUUGCCCUAGGUUCUUCGGCAGGCGUGUGGCGCCUCCACCGAAUACCCUAGUCAGGUCCAACCAAUAAAUGAUAGGGUUAAGUCCUAAAUCCAUUUUUCCGGAAUGACUUUGAAUACCGAUACGGGAC
rnacentral:lncRNA from 1 species